rnacentral:rRNA from 1 species
UACGUAGGUGACAAGCGUUGUCCGGAUUUACUGGGCGUAAAGAGCGCGCAGGCGGUCGUUCAAGUCGAGUGUGAAAGCCCCCGGCUCAACUGGGGAGGGUCAUUCGAUACUGAUCGACUCGAAGGCAGGAGAGGGAAGUGGAAUUCCCGGUGUAGUGGUGAAAUGCGUAGAUAUCGGGAGGAACACCAGUGGCGAAGGCGAACUA